rnacentral:tRNA from 1 species
UCCUUUGUAGCUCAAUGGUCAGAGCGCACGGCUGUUAACCGUGAGGUUGUAGGUUCAAAUCCUAUCGAAGGAG